GUAAUCGCUGCCUUCCCCAGGGCGACCAAUCAGCGUCCGCCUUCCUUCAAUUUCCCCCAGAUGGCGCCUGCGCGCUGCCUGCAAUUACUGCUGGUUCGAAUCUCACCAGGCUCAAGGUUGACUCAGCCUUCCAUCCUUUCUAAGUGGCUCCUCCUCUGACCCGCUGCUGACUCACCCACUUUUAAUGGGACGGCCGGUGGUGCGACAGGGACACAAGAAGAUGAUGGAUGUGGUGGGCAGCAGGGGAUGCCCGCUAACAGGCGCUGCUGCCAUGAUGGAUCUGAAAUGACAGUCCUCCCAUCCGGAUGACCAGCGCUGUGCCCCGCCCCGUUCCAUCCCCCGUGGUCCCACGGUGCCCGACGAGGAUUUCCUUCAGCCUCAUCCAGCGGGUCCAAGCCAAGCGCAUGGAUGAGCAGAGGGUGGACCUGGCUUCCGGUGAAGAAGACCAAGCCGAGGAUUGAGCCCCAGAUCACCAGCAAAGGCCCAGCUUCAGUUAGGCCAGAGCAAGCGUCCAGCGGAAGGAGGGACUUCUGGAUGCUGCCCCCAGCUGAAGAUCUGGGCCGUGGCGCUCGGUGCAUUCUGGGGGGGGGGAGAGUGGGGGGCAAUGCCUCCCUCCAGCACUGUCUCCCCCUGGAGAACAUGGCACAGGCGAGAGUGGCAAGCAGAAUGGGUGGGCACUUUCUGCUGACCAAGAGGCCUGUGGGCCAACUGGGCGAGAUCGGCAACCAUCUUCUUUGCUUGAACGUCGGCUAUGAAAACCAGGCUCAAGAACUGAGGAAGGGAAAGGUCUGGAUCAGGGUCACGCCCCAAGGGGCUGCUGGAGGGAGGGGUUGACACCCCUCCCCCGAAAGUCAGGUUGACUCUGCCUCUUUAGGCCCGGAUCGUGUGCCAAAUCAUCAGCAGCCAAGUUGGGAAUAUGAAUUGAUGACAAUCAGUGUGUCUGUGUGCAAACCUUGCUUUCGAAAUAUGCUUUUGGGUGCCCUUUUAUCUCAGGUGCAAUCUGAUGCUAGUUGGAAAGGUGCUAGGCAGGAGACAGAGGGAAGCAAACAUCCAGAGCCAAGAUGUGAGGUUUCUGUUAUCCAGCCACCUUUCCUGGGCUGCCCCUGGGCUCCUCCCUCCUGCAGCCUCGGAGCCCCCCAGCCUUUCCCCGCAUCUCCCGGGGAAGCGGCGCCAGGACCGGGCAGGGCUGCUCCGCAGGGCCCACUCUCCUACUCCUCCUCCUCUCGGGCGGCACCUCUUUCCUGCAUCCGCCGCCAUCCUCCAGUCUCCUGCAGGGGAGAGAGAGAAGAGGGUCACAGCUGCAUCCUCUUCCCCGCAGGGGAGGCCCAGGCCCAAGCCCCCCCCCACCUCCCAUGGGCCUCCCGGGCAUUCUCCAGGUGGACACGGCCUCCUUCCCAGCCUCCCAUCUCCCUCCCUCCCCUCAAGACUAGGCCUCAGAAUCCCAGGCCUGCCUUCUUUGGAGAGACCCUCCCGGACUUCAACUCCCAGCAUUCCCUGCGCCCAACCUGCAUCAUCCGCGCUCCUCUGAGUCGCUGAUUCAGGCAGGUUCCUCGUUGCCCGUUUUAAUUUUCUCUCCAAAUCUUCCGCUUCUUCCUUCAGAGGAUCCGCCCCACGGAGUCACCCUGCCAAUCGCCGCCUUCCUCAGAACGACCAAUCGGUGUCCGCCUUUCUUCAAUCAACCAGAUGGCGCAUGCGCGAUGCCGAGGACGUGGAAGUGGGGCGGGGCUCCCCUUGAACUUUGGGGGCUGAUCUCCCCCCCCUCUGCAGCCCCCGUAUUGAGGGAGGGGGAGCUCAGGGGCUCUUCUGGGGCUGCGGCCUCGUAGCAACCUCUGAAGGGGAGCCAGGGAUGAAGGCUGGGAGGGGAGAAAGAAGAGACCCUGAGUUCAAGGGUUGCACAGCUCCCUUUUCAGUCCAGCCCACCUCACAGGGUUGUUGUUGGGGGAAGAGAGGAGGAAGCUGUGCUGGAUGGGAGGAGGGGGAGGGGCUCCUGGGGGCUUCUCUUCUUGCAGAGGUUUCAUUGCCCAAAGUAGCUUCCUUCCUCAUGGCUAGAAGGGAGGGGGGCUCAGAGAGCUCCAAAGACCCCUCAGUUCAACCCUCAGCUCCAAAUAUUCCCCUUCAUUUUGCUGCAUGUCUUCUCCGCCUUAUUGGUAAAAAUAAUAAUUCCCAAUAAAUAAAUAAACUCGCUAUAUGUCACUCACUCAAGUGUGUUUUUAAAUAGCAACUACAUGGUCUCUAUUUGAUCCAGGAGAAUUCUUGUUCCUAGAUAGGAACAAGAUAGGAAUUCAUGCACAAAAGGAAACUGUUAUGUACUGGGCAUACUCUAAUGUUUAGGCCCCCUGUUGGAACGAAUAAAUAUGGGAACGUGUUGUGAUUGGUUGACCUAGCUGACAGGGGAGUAUAUAAGAGCUGUCAAGAAGGGCUCGGGUGUUUGUUCGCAUGUAUAUGUUAAUUGGUUAGGUUGUCGGUUCCAGUUAAUAAAAGAGUUACCUCAGCCGUU